rnacentral:ncRNA from 1 species
AUGCAGGCUAUGAAGAAGAGGAGUACGUGUUCAGGUACUUCAGAGAGGGAACGGCUGGUGUGAGUUCCUGUACUGAGAUACGGAAGGUCGCUUCUGAGCUUCCUUUGCAGAACAGAGUAAGCAGAGGCGUUUGACAGCGUUAUUGUCUUGAGCCGGAGAAUCUCUCCGGGAAUUUUGGUGGUACCACGAAAGCAGGCUCUUUCGUCCAGAUG